rnacentral:rRNA from 1 species
UCCUACGGGAGGCAGCAGUGGGGAAUAUUGGACAAUGGGCGAAAGCCUGAUCCAGCAAUGCCGCGUGAGUGAUGAAGGCCUUAGGGUUGUAAAGCUCUUUUACCAGGGAUGAUAAUGACAGUACCUGGAGAAUAAGCUCCGGCUAACUCCGUGCCAGCAGCCGCGGUAAUACGGAGGGAGCUAGCGUUGUUCGGAAUUACUGGGCGUAANGCGCGCGUAGGCGGCUACUCUUGUCAGAGGUGAAAAGCCC